GACAGAGGGUGCAAACGUUGUUCGGAAUUACUGGGCGUAAAGCGUGUGUAGGCGGUUCUCUAAGUCGGAUGUGAAAUCCCUGGGCUCAACCCAGGAAGUGCACUCGAAACUGGAGGGCUAGAGUAUCGGAGAGGUUGGUGGAAUUCUCGGUGUAGAGGUGAAAUUCGUAGAUAUCGAGAGGAACACCGGUGGCGAAGGCGGCGACCUGGUCCUUAUACUGACGCUGAGGCGCGAAAGCGUGGGGAGCGAACAGG
rnacentral:rRNA from 1 species